AUUAUUCAAUACAUUUUUUAUUUGAUGAUUUUUUUUUCAGUAAAAUAAAGCAUUAAAUAAAUUUGUUUUAAAGUAAAAGAUGUUAACUAAAUAUAUUUUUACUAAUAUUUAGUCAAACAAUUCUCUCAACUCAAAAGCUAAUUGUAAGAAACUAAUUUUAGACACUUCCACCAAUCCAAUCUGAUUAUGAUGAUUUUAGAAAUUUCCGAUGCUUAAAAGUCAACUUCUGUCUCCCCCUCCAAAAAAAAAAAAACAGCAAAUUCCGAAGUCCUAAGCCGAAACAUGAUAUUGUAAAAGAUGAAAUAUAUCCAUCCUCAUAUAACACAUUAUUGUAAUUAUUAAAAUGCGGUUUUAUAUAAAAGGAAAAAGAAAAAGGAUCUCAUGAAAGCACAAAGACGCAGACUAUGAGAAAGAGACUCAAAAAGAGAUCAAGGUAAAACAACGAACAAAGAACUCCCAAGCCUGAAACAAGGGGCCCGAAGUUCAAGAAGGAGCUCGUCAAAAGAAAGACAAAAAUAAAAAGAGGAAACGCAGGAAGCCUAAAACUUCAGCGUACAGAAACUCAAUCUCAAGAAUGAUCCAUGUUGUUGCAGAAAUCGUC
rnacentral:lncRNA from 1 species